rnacentral:rRNA from 1 species
UCCUUAGAUGUUCUGGGCAGCACGCGCGCUAAAAUGGUCUUCGCAAACGGAUGCAUUCUCGAAGGAGAAUGCCAAUCUUGGAAUCUAUGCCUUGGUCGGGACAGUUGCUUGCAAUUUUUCGACUCGAACCAGGAAUUCCUUGUAAUCGUGAUUCAUCACAUCACGAUGAAUACGUCCCUGCCCUUUGUACACACCGCCCGUCGCUCCUACCGAUCGAAGAGUUAGGUGAAUUGUUUUGAUCGAUAAGAUUUGACUAUGGUCAACUCUCGUUGUGAAAUUCUGUGAAUCUGACUGUUUAGAGGAAGGAAAAGUCGUAACA